rnacentral:lncRNA from 1 species
CUCAUCCGUGCGUUCGGCAAUCCCUCCACUCCGCCUGGUCCCGCUUUUCCUCCCAGCCUCUGGAUUAGAGGCUGGGAGACCGUUUUGAGUCUCGGGAGGGAAGGGGGAGGGGAAACGUAGGAACUAGACCGCCACAAUCGAUGGCCGAGCGCCUAAACGCCCGCGACUGUCUUCUCUCUUUGAGCUGGGGAUCCGCGAGCGGAGCGAAGUGGCGGGGGCCGAGGGUUGGGGGCAGGAUGGAGACGAGGUAAGCUGUAGCGCUCGCUCUCGGGUGGCGGCAGCUCUCUUUGGCCCGUCUUACUGGGGCGGGGGCUCCUGGAUGAGUAGGAAGGACGGGAGUGACCGUGGGAUCGAGAAGGUCUCUCCAGACGGAAAGCUUAUGCGACUUGGAGGAAGAGAGCAGGAAGAGGAGGAAGCCCUCGCGCUGCGGGACGGGGGAGCCCCCAUCUGUGUACAAUUUUUGCGCACAUUUUCAAGCCGAGGAGGCUGCGUCACACGCGAGUGUACACAGCCUGAAGUCAGGCCACAAAGUGGAAGCGCUGCUCCGACGAACACCGAAACUGCUGGAGGCCCUUGGACGCCCCAGCCGGAGAGUCCCAGGCUGGGCUGGGACGCGGAGGCGAACUGCGCCCGGAAUUGCGCUUGGAGCGGCAAAAAGUGUGUGACGGCAUCCGCCGGUGUCGAGCGUCAUCUAACUCAAUUGGACCACCGUCCAAAAAUUACUGGCGGAACUUUUAAGCCGCGGAGUUUUCAGCAAAUCAUCCUGUGUCUGUCCCUCAGUUUCUUCAUGGGCAAAAUGAGGGAUUCGCGCUGGAUGAUCGCCGGGGGUUCCUUCGGAUCUAAUCCUUUUGCCACCCACCUCUGAAGUUCUGAAUCUGACAAUCAGCAGUCAUUACUUAUAACAAGAAACCUUGUUCUUGUUCCAACUGUGUGAGAACACAGAUCUGGGCCCAGUGAUAUUUCUGUUGGCCUCCUAAUUGCUCGUUUCGAUAUUCUUUUCCAACAAUUGAUAGUAUCAGAAUUUAGUAUAACAACUAGUACGGCGCGUAACAAUUGAUUAACUUGUAACCACAUAUCAACAAAUUUCGAGCCCAAGAGAAAUUUUUGGCAAGAAUUAGUAUCAUAAUUCAUACCGUGAAAUGCACUACAAUUCUGCAAUACAGAGGUUUUUCGUAAUCUUCACCAUAGGCUCCUCACAGCAUGGCAUGACCCUGAAAUCUUACAAGACUAAAAUAACAGGAUGCAAGCUCAGGCAAGUUCUAUGAAGCUGGAAGGUCUUGAAUAUGAUAUGGUAAAGGACUUCUGUCCUGUUUGAGAAACAGCAGCCUAAGGAAACCUGGAGAGAUUUUAUCCCCACGUUGACUGGAAUGGUAGUGGUUGUUGUUUUGUUUCAUUUUCCCCCUUUCUUCCAGCUACUGUAUCUCUCUAAGACUUAUCUUUGAAGUAUUAUUACAGUAUGUUUUUUAGUUGCUUUGCUAUGUUGAUUGCAUUCUGGGAUUCUUGAAUUCCCUCUUUGCCUGUCUCUAGAGAGUACUUCAUAAAAUAAACAAAUGUGGUUAACCACUGUGGUAAGGACUGUCUCUAGGCAAAACUAUGAAGCCUGUAAAGUUACCUUUAGGCACCCCUUUCUUCUUUUUUAUUAUCUUUUCACUCACUCUGUGUUAUCCAAACACUAAUAGCUACAACCACCAUUCACCCUGGACCGAAGCUUGCUACUACUUGACUGCCAAACCUACCCUCCAGGGGGAGGGGAAAAAAAAAAAAAAACUUCUGGGACGGUGGCAGCCUCCUAAUACCACCUGGCAUUUCCUUAACAUCUCAACUAUUUCACUAUCUGAAUUUGUUUCCCUCUUUUAUUUCGCCCCAUUGCAGUCCAUCCUCCAAUGAGGUCUCUCAAAGUAAUUUUUCAAAAUAAGAAUCUGACUAUAUCUCACUCUUAGUAAACUCCAGACACUCUCUAUUACCUUCAGGAUCAAAAAUAAAAUCCUCUGACCUUGCCCUUUUCCACUUUUCUUGUCAUAGACUUCAUCCCCCUCCACAUAAUCUACUAGACAGGGACAUUGGCUUCCUUGCUGUUCCAGGUACUAGAUAUUUAGUCUCCCAACUCCAGGUAUUUUCACUAAUACUCCUCUAUGUCUAGAAUGCCUUCUUUCACUUCCAUCUCUGACUGCCCUGGCUUCUUGUUUCCGCUAAAGUUCCACAACAAUAAGUCUCACUACCCCACUUCAUAAUACUGCCUUUUCUUUGAGAUUUUCCCUUUUUUUUUUUUUUGUAUAUGUCUUGUUUGUUCAUAAGCAUUUAUUUGUUUUUUUUGUUUGUUUGUUUUUUUCCACCUCACCAUUAGACUGCAAGUUCUUUAAGGGCAAAGACCAUUUUUUUUUCCUUUGUGUCCUGUACCUAGUACUCAGUAAGUGCUUAAUAAACGCUAGCUAACUGACAUGAUUCCCUUCCUCCUCCAACCUUCCCAAUGCUGGCAUCCUCCCUCUGAGAGUCUCUCAUUUACAGAGUAUAUAUUUUGUGGAAUAAAAUUGUUUUCUUUUGUCUUAUUUAUUAGGAUGUGAACUUCUUGAGAACAGGUACUGGUUUUGCUUUUAUAUUCCUGGUACUUGGCUUAAUACUGAGAAGGCUUAAUAAAUACUUGUAGAUUUUUCCCAGCU